UGACGUCCCGUUGUAAGCUUUCAUCUUAAUUGUCUUCAAUGAAAUUGUACUGAAAGAAGGAAGGCAUUUGGAAGCAAUGAGCUUCAGGGAGUCUUCCAGGCAUCUCGGAAUAUCACAGCCUUCGUGAAGUGUUCUCAUUGCCUGUGGGAUGUGUGGGCCCCAAAUUCAUGGCCCCAAAUUCAUGGCCUCCUUCACAAGGGAGUCUUCCCCUUCUCCAGCAGAACUGAGCUCCUCUGUGAGAUCACUUCCUUGACUGUCUGUCUCCCACCAGUGCUCCAUUAGUGGCUCUGAAGCCCUCUUUCAGAAGCAGAAAGAAGCCCAUGGUUCCAAGCUGAGGUGCUGAGGGUCCACUGCUAUGCCCUUGACCACACGGAGUCAAAUUUUAGGAAUAUCUGCUAGAAAAAAAAGAGCAGACCCUCAUGCUGAGAGAAAGUCUCCCAAGUGGAGUCGGUUCUCUGGAAAACAACUGGAUAUGGUGUUGGUCUUUAUUACAGUUUCCACAGACUAAAAAAAAAAAGUUGUUUAUAAAACAAAAGCCACAUCGAUUUGAUACGGUAACAUUUUUGAGAAUUUUGUUUUUGCACAGCGGAAACCAGGGCUGAUGUGCUCAUGGUGGAAAUGGAGCCUGUUCAGUUACCCCAAAGCACCUCUCCUAAAACACAAAUCUGAGUAAGCCAGGCUCGGCCUUGCCAGGAACAGCCGGCAUUGUUUGGCUCUUUGGAGAGACAGGCGAGGCCAGCAAAGCCCUCACACCAUGCAACACCACGCUCGCACACCCAGGCUCAGGCCUGCCCUCCGAGGGACGCCUCCAGGGUCCUCACCUUCCCUCCAGUCCCCGGACCGCAUGGUGGAGGACACGGUUCUGGCCUGUCCUCGCCAGCGCUAGGACCACCUGGGCAAGAGGAGACUCCUCUCUUGUUUGCAGUUCUGUUCUCAGACAGUGAAAGACGCCAAACGAAACAUUCAUGUUUCCUGCUGUUUUGAGCCAGAUCAUGUGAAAACCAAAGAAAAUCUAUGUUUGCUGGCUUUGAGAACAGGAGUAACUACUUUUUUAAGCACAAAGGAAGCAACUUACAAGGAGCGCCAGACUCACGGGCCUGCCUUUACUGCCGUGUACCACUCCAGACAGCAUGCAGAGUUGGUGGAGAGUAUAAUAAACAUCAGAGAUAUUUUGCAAUUCAUGGCUGACCCAUGCUGACCCUUUCUUUAAUUAAACCUUCCACUUGUGAAUGAA